GAGAGUGAGACCACAAAGGGAGUAGUGAAAAAUGAAAAUGGCAGUGAUGGUCCCUUGUUAUUCCAUUUCUUGUCCUUUUGGUGUCAAUCAGAUUGUUCCAUUCGUCUUUAUUUUUUUUUUCUAAUAUUAUAUCCUUUUUAUUUUAUUUAAUCAGAUUUAUAAUAGUUUUCAAAAUAUUAUUCUUUGUUUUUAGAUUUACUAUCGCUUGCUUUUGAGGCACUGUUAUUUUACGACAUAUAUACUAGUGUGUUCGUCGAAUGGUGCGACCAAC
rnacentral:lncRNA from 1 species